rnacentral:rRNA from 1 species
UACGUAGGUGGCAAGCGUUGUCCGGAUUUACUGGGCGUAAAGAGCGCGCAGGCGGUCGUUCAAGUCGCGUGUGAAAGCCCCCGGCUCAACUGGGGAGGGUCACGCGAUACUGAUCGACUCGAAGGCAAGAGAGGGUAGUGGAAUUCCCGGUGUAGUGGUGAAAUGCGUAGAUAUCAGGAGGAACACCUAUUGCGAAGGCGGCUUUCUGGGACGGUACUGACGCUGAGACGCGAAAGCGUGGGGAGCGAACAGG